UACGUAGGGGCGAGCGUUGUCCGAAGUUACUGGGCGUAAGCGCGACGUAGGCGGUUCUUUAAGUUGAUUGUGAAAUCUUCACGGCUUAACCGGAAAACUGCGGUCAAGACUGGAGAACUGGAGAUUGGGAGAGGGAAGUGGAAUUCCUGGUGUAGCGGUGAAAUGCGUAGAUAUCAGGAGGAACACCCAUGGCGAAGGCAGCUUCCUGGCCCAAUUCUGACGCUGAGGUGCGAAAGCGUGGGUAGCGAACGGG
rnacentral:rRNA from 1 species